rnacentral:misc_RNA from 1 species
UCCUAGCCCCGAUAGAAACGGUUACCCCACAGCAGGUGAAGGCAAAAGCCAUGGAGCGAGGAGUAUGAGUGGAUAGCGGGAUAAGCU